rnacentral:rRNA from 2 species
GCUGGUGAUUUUAGCACGGUUGAAACACGAGAUCCCAUCCCGAACUCUAGCGUGAAACGCCGUUGCGCCGAUGGUACUCCGUCUUAAGGCGCGGGAGAGUAGGUCGUUGCCAGCU